GCUACCACUGCGCCACCGUGCCGCCCUAGCCAAUGUCAGUAAUGGUAAUAAACACAAAACAAUUGGAUUCGUAGCUGACGCUAUAUGUAAUCGCACAUCUUGUUAGUUUUGUUUAAUAGCUCUAAAUUUAGUUUCUUUAAAUAUACUGAGCUUUUUAUUUUGCAAGUCCAAACAUGUUGUAAAAUUGUUAGUAUCAGAAAACGUUUUCAGCUCACAUUUUCAAAUUGGAAAAAUUGUACAACUACUCGCCCAUUACUAUGAACUGUGUGCAGUGCACUUGUAUCCGGGGCGUGGAUGACGAAACAGCCGGCUAUGAAAAGGGUCCAACAGAGUAGAGCCAUACUCCUUUCGAAGUGAACAACGGCGAUUAAGAAGAAGAAAAAGAUUUCAGAACUUGGCGCUGCGAAACGAUUACGAUUGUGACGACGGAUAAAACCUAAUUAGUCAUUAGGUAGGCCAGAUCCUGUAUGAAAUGGGGUAGCAAGAAACCGAAGAAGUGUCAUUACCCGAUCUGCGUCUGCAGUGAGGACAGUUUUAGGCCUUCGACAGAGCCUCGGAACCUGUUUAUAUUCAUGUGAGAAACACGACGACGUUUAUUUUUAUGUAAAUUUAAAUCUCCUAAUUGUAUUUAGUAAACAGUUUUAAUGCUAUGUGUUGCUUUACCUAGAAAAUGGGUUUAUUUUAUUUUUUCUUUCAGUGGUUUUGUUUCGGUUGCAGAACUCCGACAGCUCUGUAGUUUAGACGUUUAAUGAAUGCUGAAUACACAGGCCUGGUUUGAGAGCAAGAACUAAAAGCAAUUGAAAUCGACAUGAAGCUCUCAUGACUUGGGGUGUGUGUCGUAGAAGAAGCUUCUGGAAAGUGGGCGGUGUCAAAAUCGCUGUCGCUGACGUCACAUGUAUGCGCUUCAAAAUGUCUCAGGUCGCUGAAUCCUUUCGAGUCUUCAGACUGUAUCGCCUUCAGCUGGGCUAUUUUUGUAGAAAACGGAUCUAUGUUGAUCUUCGAUUAUUUCAGAUAAUCGACAAUUGUAAAUUUAAGAGGUCGACUGUUAGUUAUUAAUCUCGCAAUUCAUAAUUUUCUUUUAAUUUGCCUGAAUGAUUUAUGUUUGUUUUUUUAUUACAAGCCAAAUAAGUAAAAUAUAAACACAUAUUACUGGUCAAACUGAAAAACAGAUAUACCCGGGUCCAUGUUAUAAACCAAAUGCAGUUAAUGAAAAGGUCAAAAAUCAAGGGUCUGCGUUGGAUUCAUGUUUUUAAAACUGGAAUUUUCUAAAUUAUUCUGUAUGCACUUUUUAA